rnacentral:rRNA from 1 species
AUUGAACGCUGGCGGCAGGCCUAACACAUGCAAGUCGAGCGGAUGAAGGGAGCUUGCUCCUGGAUUCAGCGGCGGACGGGUGAGUAAUGCCUAGGAAUCUGCCUGGUAGUGGGGGAUAACGUCCGGAAACGGGCGCUAAUACCGCAUACGUCCUGAGGGAGAAAGUGGGGGAUCUUCGGACCUCACGCUAUCAGAUGAGCCUAGGUCGGAUUAGCUAGUUGGUGGGGUAAAGGCCUACCAAGGCGACGAUCCGUAACUGGUCUGAGAGGAUGAUCAGUCACACUGGAACUGAGACACGGUCCUGACUCCUACGGGAGGCAGCAGUGGGGAAUAUUGGACAAUGGGCGAAAGCCUGAUCCAGCCAUGCCGCGUGUGUGAAGAAGGUCUUCGGAUUGUAAAGCACUUUAAGUUGGGAGGAAGGGCAGUAAGUUAAUACCUUGCUGUUUUGACGUUACCAACGGAAUAAGCACCGGCUAACUUCGUG